rnacentral:rRNA from 1 species
CAGUAGCCGCGGUAAUACGGAGGGGGCUAGCGUUGUUCGGAAUUACCGGGCGUAAAGCGCACGUAGGCGGCUUGGUAAGUUAGAGGUGAAAGCCUGGAGCUCAACUCCAGAAUUGCCUUUAAGACUGCCGAGCUAGCAGGUGAGAGAGGUAAGUGGAAUUCCGAGUGUAGAGGUGAAAUUCGUAGAUAUUCGGAAGAACACCAGUGGCGGAGGCGGCCAUCUGGGACAACACUGACGCCGAGGCACGAAAGCGUGGGGAGCAAACAGGAUUAGAUACCCCUGUAGUCCCUGUCUCUUAUAC